rnacentral:rRNA from 1 species
AGAGUUUGAUCCUGGCUCAGAACGAACGCUGGCGGCGUGGAUAAGACAUGCAAGUCGAACGCUGAUUUGAAGGUAGCAAUAUUUUCAAGUCGGAGUGGCGCAAGGGUGUGUAACACGUGGGCAAUCUGCCGUGAAGUCCGGGAUAACCUGCUGAAAGGCGAGCUAAUACCGGAUGUGAAAGUUGGAGGGCAUCCUCUGAUUUUCAAAGUUGGGGACCGCAAGGCCUGACGCUUCACGAUGAACCCGCGGCCUAUCAGCUAGUUGGUGAGGUAACGGCUCACCAAGGCUAAGACGGGUAGCUGGUCUGAGAGGACGACCAGCCACACUGGAACUGAGACACGGUCCAGACACCUACGGGUGGCAGCAGUCGAGAAUUUUUCACAAUGGGCGAAAGCCUGAUGGAGCGACGCCGCGUGGGGGAUGAAUGGCUUCGGCCCGUAAACCCCUGUCAUUUGUGACCAAACCUUCCGAUCUAAUAAGUCGGAAGCUGAUGGUAGCGGAAGAGGAAGGGACGGCUAACUCUGUGCCAGCAGCCGCGGUAAUACAGAGGUCCCAAGCGUUGUUCGGAUUCACUGGGCGUAAAGGGUGCGUAGGUGGUCGGGUAAGUCUGAUGUGAAAUCUCCGAGCUUAACUCGGAAAUGGCAUUGGAUACUAUCUGACUAGAGGGUUGGAGGGGGGACUGGAAUUCUCGGUGUAGCAGUGAAAUGCGUAGAUAUCGAGAGGAACACCAGUGGCGAAGGCGAGUCCCUGGACAACUCCUGACACUGAGGCACGAAAGCUAGGGGAGCAAACAGGAUUAGAUACCCUAGUAGUCC